AGUAGAAUUGCUGGGUCCGAUGGUAACUGGGUUUAACUUUUUGAAGAACUUCCACACUGCUUUCCAAAGUGGCUACACCAUUUAACAUUUCUGUCAGCAGU
rnacentral:pre_miRNA from 1 species